AACGAACGCUGGCGGCAUGCCUAACACAUGCAAGUCGAACGAGACCUUCGGGUCUAGUGGCGCACGGGUGCGUAACGCGUGGGAAUCUGCCCUUGGGUUCGGAAUAACUUCGGGAAACUGAAGCUAAUACCGGAUGAUGACGUAAGUCCAAAGAUUUAUCGCCCAAGGAUGAGCCCGCGUAGGAUUAGCUAGUUGGUGAGGUAAAGGCUCACCAAGGCGACGAUCCUUAGCUGGUCUGAGAGGAUGAUCAGCCACACUGGGACUGAGACACGGCCCAGACUCCUACGGGAGGCAGCAGUGGGGAAUAUUGGACAAUGGGCGCAAGCCUGAUCCAGCAAUGCCGCGUGCAGGAUGAAGGCCUUC
rnacentral:rRNA from 1 species